AGCUGGAGCACUUGUCCCUCUCCUGUGAGGAUCCUCUGGUGUCUGAUGGAGGGGCAGCUCACACUGCAAGUACGAUUCAGAUGCUACUUCGUUUCUGGAUGGGGACGUGAGCUGUAUCCUCUCCCUGGAAGGGACGGCGGGCAGCAGCUCCGAACUGAGGCAUGGGUGCUGCAUGAGGGCCCGUCCGCUGAAGGUAACUCUCAGGUCAACCCCCCUCCUCAGUAGGGCUCCUGAUCUAGCGUGGGGCUCCCUGACUCUGCAGAGCCCAUGCUAUCUACGUGUGAGAGGCACCAGCAGG